rnacentral:lncRNA from 1 species
AGGAAUGUUUUUACUGCUCUGCAGACAUCAAGUAGCCUGAGCUGGAGGUUACCAUGGUGAUAUGGUCAUACACGAUGACUUCAAGUCUAUAUCUUGCUGAGUGGUUUUCAGGGAGAAUGGAGGAUUAUUGUCUUUUGCUGAUAGACUCUACUUAAACUUGACCUUCUCUGCCAUUUCUUCUAAGAAUAAUUAAAUAAUUUUGGUGU